GACGAACGCUGGCGGCGCGCCUAACACAUGCAAGUCGAACGAGCGAGAGAGAGCUUGCUUUCUCGAGCGAGUGGCGAACGGGUGAGUAACGCGUGAGGAACCUGCCUCAAGAGGGGGACAACAGUUGGAAACGACUGCUAAUACCGCAUAAGCCCACGACCCGGCAUCGGGUAGAGGGAAAAGGAGCAAUCCGCUUUGAGAUGGCCUCGCGUCCGAUUAGCUAGUUGGUGAGGUAACGGCCCACCAAGGCGACGAUCGGUAGCCGGACUGAGAGGUUGAACGGCCACAUUGGGACUAAGACACGGCCCAGACUCCUACGGGAGGCAGCAGUGGGGAAUAUUGCACAAUGGGGGAAACCCUGAUGCAGCGACGCCGCGUGGAGGAAGAAGGUCUUCGGAUUGUAAACUCCUGUUGUUGAGGAAGAUAAUGACGGUACUCAACAAGGAAGUGACGGCUAACUACGUG
rnacentral:rRNA from 1 species